rnacentral:rRNA from 1 species
GACGAACGCUGGCGGCGUGCUUAACAUAUGCAAGUCGAACGGAAAGGCCCUGCUUUUGUGGGGUGCUCGAGUGGCGAACGGGUGAGUAACACGUGAGUAACCUGCCCUUGACUUUGGGAUAACUUUAGGAAACUGGGGCUAAUACCGGAUAGGAGCUCCUGCCGCAUGGUGGGGGUUGGAAAGUUUCGGCGGUUGGGGUUGGACUCGCGGCUUAUCAGCUUGUUGGUUGGGUAGUGGCUUACCAAGGCUUUGACGGGUAGCCGGCCUGGGAGGGUGACCGGCCACAUGGGGACUGAGAUACGGCCCAGACUCCUACGUGGGGCAGCGGGGGGGAAUAUUGCACAGUGGGCGGAAGCCUGAUGCAGCAACGCCGCGUGCGGGAUGACGGCCUUCGGGUUGUAAACCGCUUUCGCCUGUGACGAAGCGUGAGUGACGGUAAUGGGUAAAGAAGCACCGGCUAACUACGUG